AAAUAUAUAAUUAAUAAAUACUAAAUUGAUUUAUUAAUAAUAAAUCUACUCUCUACUAAAUAAGAGAGUAGAUUUA
rnacentral:tRNA from 1 species